rnacentral:rRNA from 1 species
AUUGAACGCUGGCGGCAUGCCUUACACAUGCAAGUUGAACGGCAGCACGGGAGCAAUCCUGGUGGCGAGUGGCGAACGGGUGAGUAAUAUAUCGGAACGUGCCCAGUCGUGGGGGAUAACGUAGCGAAAGCUACGCUAAUACCGCAUACGAUCUAUGGAUGAAAGCGGGGGAUCGCAAGACCUCGCGCGAUUGGAGCGGCCGAUAUCAGAUUAGGUAGUUGGUGAGGUAAAGGCACACCAAGCCGACGAUCUGUAGCUGGUCUGAGAGGACGACCAGCCACACUGGGACUGAGACACGGCCCAGACUCCUACGGGAGGCAGCAGUGGGGAAUUUUGGACAAUGGGCGCAAGCCUGAUCCAGCAAUGCCGCGUGCAGGAUGAAGGCCUUCGGGUUGUAAACUGCUUUUGUACGGAACGAAACGGCGAGCUCUAAUACAGUUUGCUAAUGACGGUACCGUAAGAAUAAGCACCGGCUAACUACGUGCCAGCCGCCGCAGUAACAC